CCAUAGGCUGUAUCAAGUGUCAAUCAUUGAAAACAUGAACCCCCUAAUAACUUUUAAAAAUGUAGCUGUACAGAAAAAAGAGGACUUGAGCACAAACCAGUCUGACAGUAACUACAUGUCAACAUCACAACCAGGGGGGAGAAACAUUAAUAUUCUGUGUCAUUCAUUUAUAAAGUUUGUCCAUAGCUCCAAAAGGAGGCGGGAUUUAUGAC